GAAGCUCAGUUGGUUAGAGCAUGGGCCUGAAUAUGCCAAGGUUGCAGGUUCAAUCCCCACAAGGGACA